rnacentral:rRNA from 1 species
GUAGGGUGCGAGCGUUAAUCGGAAUUACUGGGCGUAAAGCGUGCGCAGGCGGUUUUGUAAGCCAGAUGUGAAAUCCCCGGGCUUAACCUGGGAAUGGCAUUUGGGACUGCAAGGCUCGAGUGCGGCAGAGGAGACUGGAAUUCCUGGUGUAGCAGUGAAAUGCGUAGAUAUCAGGAGGAACACCGAUGGCGAAGGCAGGUCUCUGGGCUGACACUGACGCUCAUGCACGAAAGCGUGGGGAGCAAACAGGAUUAGAUACCCUGGUAGUCCACGCCCUAAACGAUGUCGACUGGUUGUUGGGGGUUUGACACUCUCAGUAACGAAGCUAACGCGUGAAGUCGACCGCCUGGGGAGUACGGCCGCAAGGCUA